rnacentral:rRNA from 1 species
GAUGAACGCUGGCGGCGUGCCUAAUACAUGCAAGUCGAGCGAACAGACGAGGAGCUUGCUCCUCUGAUGUUAGCGGCGGACGGGUGAGUAACACGUGGAUAACCUACCUAUAAGACUGGGAUAACUUCGGGAAACCGGAGCUAAUACCGGAUAACAUGUUGAACCGCAUGGUUCAACAGUGAAAGACGGUCUUGCUGUCACUUAUAGAUGGAUCCGCGCCGCAUUAGCUAGUUGGUAAGGUAACGGCUUACCAAGGCAACGAUGCGUAGCCGACCUGAGAGGGUGAUAGGCCACACUGGAACUGAGACACGGUCCAGACUCCUACGGGGGGCAGCAGUAGGGAAUCUUCCGCAAUGGGCGAAAGCCUGACGGAGCAAAGCCGCGUGAGUGAAGAAGGUCUUCGGAUCGUAAAACUCUGUUAUUAGGGAAGAACAAAUGUGUAAGUAACUAUGCACGUCUUGACGGUACCUAAUCAGAAAGCCACGGCUAACUACGUG